UGCUGGACUUGAUUGCUCUACUGUUUUGAGUAACAGCAGCCAGAGUUGUAGUCUCUUGUACUUGAAGGACUGCAAGAAAUCUCAGACUACUGGAGAUUCUUUCUAGAUGAAUACUACUUUGGCCCCUUCAUCUGAGAGCAAGAUAAAUCCAUGAUAACAGCACUAAAAGCUCCUGUAAAACAUGUAUUGCUAUGCAUAGAAACACACUCGAGUGUGUGCUUGUGGGUUUUUUGUUUGCUUGGGUUUAUGGUGGGUUUUUCUCAUUCACUGCAAUAUUUUUCCUCUAUUCCUCUGUUUUAAAGUAACAUAUUUGCUUAGAAAGAGUCAAUUUAUAUACUUUAUUUGCUACAAUUUUCUGGAUGAGAUGACUUGCUGUUCCUCUUUUUUAAUUCCUACUUAUCCAUGCACUGAAUGAUACUUAAAAUGAGGUUGAUGCCUUUAUUGUUUGCUCCUUCAGAACCAGCUGCAAGUUUAAAGUCUGAGCUUUUUGAAGUGACCAUAGUGGCUUUAACAAUGUAUUUUCUCUCUGCAAAUGAGACUGAUUUCACAGUAUUAAUCUAUGAAUAUCUGUCUGGAGAGAUCUUAUUUCUUUGGCGCUAGCUGAAGGGUACGAAAUACUCUUCCCCUUGCAGCAUUUCAAUGUUUUAUAAGCUCCAACUGACACUAUCAUGUUAAAAUCUGAAUUUCUUCCAAAUGUGAAGUUGACAGUAUGAGCUGCUAAUUUACAGUACUUCAGCUGUGCCAAGUGAUAGUGACUUUUUGCCUAAAUUACUUUCUCUGAACUAGUUUAACAUUAUUCCAUGGGAACCAGUCAGAGUUGUGUGCUAUAUUUGGAUGAUCUUACUUUGGUUGUUUGAGGUCUUCAAUAUUUACCAAGCAACUAACUUAAGCCUCAUUCUUCCAUUUUAUAUUUAAGGGGAAAAGCAAAUGUAGUUCAAUUGUUGAUUUGACACUACAGAAAUGUUUUGUGGCUGGAUUCCAGUGCAGCUUUCAGGAUGUGUAUGAUGAAUUUGAAUCUCUGCUCUGCUAAGACCUAGCCUGGAGUACUGUGUCCAGCUCUGGAACCCUCAACACAGGAAGGAUAUGAACCUGAUGGAGAAGGUCCAGAGGAGGGCCAUGGCACUGCAGAUUGUAGAAAGAGGAAAACACAAAUCCUCCCUUGCAGCCAAUCGAAAGAACAAAGGUGCUACUAGAACAUCUGGAUACUUUUGGAUCACAGGAUGUUAGGGGUUGGAAGGGAUCUAUGGAGAUUAUCAAGUCCAAUCCUCCUUCCAGAGCACUACCAUCAUCUGUGGGAAUGGAGUGAAGAAGAAAAAUAACAGACAGAUUAUGACCUUGGUUCUCACAAGCAGCUGGCUAACUUAUCUCAGAAGGGAUAGAUAACAGACACCCCGUUAAUGAGGAAAGCAAGGUGUGGUUCAUGCUGAUGGAGUGGGUUGUCCUUGACUAAUUAUGCUAAUGUAUAGGUGUGUGCUCUAUGCCCUGAGGGUAUAUAUUGAGAGCCGAAUGAUCAAUAAACGUCUCUGGCAUCA